ensembl:miRNA MIR21 microRNA mir-21
UGUACCACCUUGUCGGGUAGCUUAUCAGACUGAUGUUGACUGUUGAAUCUCAUGGCAACAGCAGUCGAUGGGCUGUCUGACAUUUUGGUAUC